rnacentral:rRNA from 1 species
AGAGUUUGAUCCUGGCUCAGGAUGAACGCUAGCGGCAGGCCUAAUACAUGCAAGUCGAACGGUAAAUAUUUUAGCAAUAAGAUAUGAGAGUGACGUACGGGUGCGUAACACGUAUGCAACCUACCCAAAACAGGAGGAUAGCUCAGGGAAACUUGGAUUAACCCUUCAUAGGAUCGUAGAGUGGCAUCACUUAGCGAUUAAAACUCAGGUGGUUUUGGAUGGGCAUGCGAAUGAUUAGCUAGUUGGUAGUGUAACGGACUACCAAGGCGAUGAUCAUUAGGGGACCUGAGAGGGUGAUCCCCCACACUGGCACUGAGAUACGGGCCAGACUCCUACGGGAGGCAGCAGUAGGGAAUAUUGGUCAAUGGAUGGAAGUCUGAACCAGCCAUGCCGCGUGCAGGAAGACGGCCUUCUGGGUUGUAAACUGCUUUUGCCUGGGGAUAAAAGGGGCGUGCGCGCCACAUUGAAGGUACCAGGUGAAUAAGCCACGGCUAACUACGUGCCAGCAGCCGCGGUAAUACGUAGGUGGCAAGCGUUGUCCGGAUUUAUCGGGUUUAAAGGGUGCGUAGGCGGCUUUUUAAGUCAGUGCUGAAAUACCCCGGCUUAACCGGGGGGGUGGCAUUGAUACUGGGGAGCUUGAGUACAGACGAGGUAAGCGGAAUUGACGGUGUAGCGGUGAAAUGCAUAGAUAUCGUCAAGAACACCGAUAGCGAAGGCAGCUUACUAGAUUGUAACUGACGCUGAGGCACGAAAGUGUGGGGAUCAAACAGGAUUAGAUACCCUGGUAGUCCACACUGUAAACGUUGAUGACUCGCUGUUUGCGAUAUACGGCAAGCGGCUUAGAGCAAUCGAUAAGUCAUCCACCUGGGGAGUACGCCGGCAACGGUGAAACUCAAAGGAAUUGACGG